UACGAAGGGGGCUAGCGUUGUUCGGAAUUACUGGGCGUAAAGCGCACGUAGGCGGAUUCUUAAGUCUGGGGUGAAAGCCCGGAGCUCAACUCCGGAACUGCCUUGGAUACUGGGAGUCUCGAGGAUGGAAGAGGUCAGUGGAAUGCCGAGUGUAGAGGUGAAAUUCGUAGAUAUUCGGCGGAACACCAGUGGCGAAGGCGACUGGCUGGUUCAUUUCUGACGCUGAGGUGCGAAAGUGUCGGGAGCAAACAGG
rnacentral:rRNA from 1 species